rnacentral:rRNA from 1 species
UGAGCAUUCUGGCCAGGCCUGACUGGAAAUCCAGUUGGGCAUUUUGGAUCCAGAUGCUCCGUACCACUUCCUGGGGAACUAGUCUGCCCUUCACUGGGUGGGCUAGGGAGCCAGGACCUUUACCUUGAAAAAAUUAGAGUGUUCAAAGCAGGCAUAUUGCUCGAAUACAUUAGCAUGGAAUAAUGAAAUAGGACCGUGGUUCUAUUUUGUUGGUUUAUAGGACCAAGGUA